GACGAACGCUGGCGGCGUGCUUAACACAUGCAAGUCGAACGGAAAGGCCCUGCUUUUGUGGGGUGCUCGAGUGGCGAACGGGUGAGUAACACGUGAGUAACCUGCCCUUGACUUUGGGGAUAACUUCAGGAAAACUGGGGCUAAUACCGGAUAGGAGCUCCUGCUGCAUGGUGGGGGUUGGAAAGUUUCGGCGGUUGGGGAUGGACUCGCGGCUUAUCAGCUUGUUGGUGGGGUAGUGGCUUACCAAGGCUUUGACGGGUAGCCGGCCUGAGAGGGUGACCGGCCACAUUGGGACUGAGAUACGGCCCAGACUCCUACGGGAGGCAGCAGUGGGGAAUAUUGCACAAUGGGCGGAAGCCUGAUGCAGCAACGCCGCGUGCGGGAUGACGGCCUUCGGGUUGUAAACCGCUUUUCGCCUGUGACGAAGCGUGAGUGACGGUAAUGGGUAAAGAAGCACCGGCUAACUACGUG
rnacentral:rRNA from 1 species